CGCCGCUGCUGCACCGGGGAGGAUGGCCGCGAAUGGCGUGAGCUCGAUAUCCAAGGGCGGGGCUGUAAUGAGGAGGUACACCCAUGGACCAUGACGGACCGGUGUGUGCAGCGGAUGCGGGCAAGGAGGGAAUUGUGCAGCUGGAGAACUCGGAACCUCUGGGGCUCCUUGAGGAGAGGGACAAAAUCAUAGAGUUGAGCGGAAAUGGGCCAGAAGCUGCGGCUCGCUAACUGGCAGAUUGCGCAGGCAAAUUCCCAUAUGCUAGCAGAGCGCAACCUUGGGAGGGAUAGAGUCAGAUCAUGGCUCUCUGAUCAUUUUGUAAAUCCCGUUAAGUUACUUUGUUAUUGAUGGCAUCUUUAGCAUGCAGCUGAUUUGUACCCAUUUUUUUCCUAUUGAAGCUAAAAUCAUUGCAACAUCAGUUUGCUUGCUCGAGACCUAUAAUCAUAGCCAAAAUAUCAGAAUUGGAGGUUUGGAGAUGCUCCUAUAGUGGCUGGAAAUUCAGCUGGUCACAGAUUACCCUGCUCCUUGCAAUAAAUCAAUCUCCCAUGGUAUUAGAUUUUUUUUCUACUCUUCCAUCAAUAAAAACGAUGGCACAUGAUUGCUGGAGCUGUAUAGGUGAACGACGGCACAUGUGUUCAUACUUCAUGCCGGCACAGGGGCACAUUGCAGAAAAAAAGAGAGAAGUAGAUCUCAGGUUCAAUCGCCGCUGCACCCCAGGGUCUCACGCUUAUUUGUAGUCAAACUAAUGCAGCUCCAAGGUUCUGAUUUGAUUUCAUUUGGUUGGCUCGGUAUACAGCUGCCGGCUGCAGUGGUCGGUUUAGUGUAGUCUCUCACAUGGAUUUUUUUUUACUCUGUUAAACAAUCUUCAAUGGAAACAAAUAGUUUGGUUUCUAACUGAAUAUUAUUGUUUUAACAGCUUACAUUUUCUUGUAGCAUAUCUGCUCCAGGUCACUACUGCUCAACAUCCUCUGCAUUUAAGGUAAUGCCAGUUAUCCUCUUCUGCACUAUUUCUUGCUCCUUUUUGUGCUCCUCUGCACUAUUUUGUUUUUGUGCUUGCUAUCCACUCUACGUGAUUAUUAUGUUGCGAGGUGCUAUCACAAGCACUUUUAUUUCAAUCUUCUUUGUUGUUGGCAUCACUUAAUUAACACUGGAUUUUUGAUAAUUUUUAGUGUGAAAUGCAUAAUAAUAAAGUGAUGCCAUAUGCUGAAAUGCAUAUGUCAUCACUUAAUUAUUUUCGAUUGUGAUUUGCCAUGAACAUAUUAACGUCUGUCGCGGAUAUUCCCUUUGAGAUAAAACAAGGUAUUCGGUGUACAUAGAUCUAAGACUGCUGCACGGCUGUUGUUUUUCUGCUUGUUGGCCAAGUUCAUUUUACUGAAUCAAUUCCAAGCAUAAUUUCCAGUAGAUAUAACCAAGAUCAUCUUGUUUGGGUAUACGUUAAUACGUUAUACAGGAUUGCUGCAUUUUUUUUAUGAAUACCUAUAGAAAGCAAAUUGUGUUAUUCAGAUUCAGCAUAUGGUAUAUAUUUCAAAAUAUGUAUAAUAAGUUUAAAGCUCAGAAUGUAAAUAGGCACAACAUUUAGAUGGACUAACAUGAGAUCUAGAUUUUAGAAAUAGCUUAACAAAUUGUCCUGUUCAGGUGUCUCAGCUUCUGACUUUGUUCUAAAUGUGUUCAGCUGUUAAGGAAAAUAGGUUAGGCUUCACUUCCGAGAUUAUGCAUUUGUUUAGAAAUUUUUUACGAUCUGAUAGUCCCAGUUUCCGCCUUUGUUACAAAUUGGCUGCCCUUCCAUAUGAAGGAAUCACAAAGUCAAAACACUAUUAGAUUGAAUAGGAAAAUCAUUUAAUUUUUUGAAAUUCUCCUAUUUGUUAUUACAUGGCCUUAAUUCUAGCAGCUAAAAUUAAGAUCAUCUUGCCUAUCUUAUUUGUCUUUUCAUUUCUAACAAAGCCAAUCUCAACCAAAUACACCUUUUUUGGCAGGACAAUCACUUAUUUCUAUGACCUUUACACCAUGUAUCUUGAUGCAUUUGUAGUAUAGAUAUGGAUGUAAAUCCUGCCAUGACUUUGAAUCCUGGUAUUUGAAAGUAACCAACGGGUGUACAUGCAUAUUUCAUGAUUUUUAAGAUUGCUAAUGCGAUGAAGAAUAGAAAAAUGGAGGUUGAACCUUCUGAGUUAAUGGCUUCUACAAUUAGAAAAAGCCAAAUGAUGUAAGAACCAAAUUUGUUAUCAGUGUAGUUCUUGGUAUCACAGAGAAUGAUUGUAUCAUGUGAACGCAGGUACAAAUUUGUUAGUCUUUUCUGCUUCCUAUACAAGUGGUAUAUGUCAAUAUAUGAUUGUAGAAAUAUAUAUGGAGAAAUAAAUGUCUAGCUGCUAAGUGCUAAGGUGCCUCUCAUUUAAAUUACUUCUCAUUAGUCUAGCAUACACAAUAACCUGGUAUUUGUGUGACUUUAUAUGCACAUUAUUUGUUUGGCAAUAGUUGACAGAAUGAGCUCUGGCGAGACAUCAUUAGACUAGAAUAGUUCAUUUUGGUCAUGGAACUGUAUUUCACCUUCAAUGUCGCGAUAGUACUUAUGAUUAUCAAUUUCCAUUUGGUACUCAUGCCGAUCUAGGUUUGGUGCUUAUCAUUUUUAUUUAGUACUCAUGAUUCAGUAAUUCUUGCUUCGAUAAUUGUUGCUGAUCCACAUUUUUUCGUGAUUAAGGGCCUGUUUGUUAUAGCUCCAACUCCUAAAUUUAACCCAGAAGUUGGGUCUGGAGUGGAGUUGUGNANCNGCCUNNNNCCAGCUCCACAACUCCAGUUCAUUUUGUGAGAGAGCUCCACCCAACUCCACUCCCAGUUUUAGUGGAGCUGAAACUGUUUGGCUGAGCUCCAGCUCUACGCCAAACAGGCCCUAAUGCACCAGAGUCUGUAGUAGAUUGUUCGGCUCCUUCAAACUGAAUCAGUAAAUUAAGUAGUUACUGCUUGAGCUACUGAGGAUGCUCUUUGACUGAUAGCUAUACCUAAUUAUUGAACUCGAAUUUCCUUAAAAAAUAUAUUUGUUCAGAGAUACUCAUUCUAGCUAUGUCACAAGCAGUGUUAAAAUAUUAGUGUUUUUUUCCCGUUAAAUCGCAUGUCAUUUGCUUCACUACAUGAGCAAAUCAGGGAAGUAGGAGGUGGAGCAAUUCUAUUUUGAAGCUAGGCAGGAUUUUUCUUUACCACAUGGCAACAAGCCACCUAGGAUGAGAGAAGCUCAUAAAGUGAGUUUUGUAUCGAGUGCUCAAAUUUCUCUGUAAAUUAUCAUACUUUUUAGGAUUAAAACUUCAGUAUUGUGAAGGAAAACAAGAAACGGUAUUUAUUUUA